rnacentral:lncRNA from 1 species
AUCUGGAAUUUUUCAAAAAUAACCAACAAUCGAUUGUCUAUGUCUAACAAUCGAUUGUCUUUAUACAGUGAGGUCUGGAAUUUAUCAAAAAUAACCAACAAUCGAUUGUCUAUGUCUAACAAUCGAUUGUCUUAAGACAGUGUGAUCUGAAGUUUUUCAAAAAUAGCAAAUAAUCGAUUGUGUGUGUUUAACAAUCGAUUGUCAAUGUUCAUCAAUCGAUUGU